UCCAUUUUGAACUCUUUUUGGCCAGGACUGUGGCCCCUGGCGACUCUGCCCACUUUAAGCCUGGCCUGAGCUGGGCCCACAGAACAGCUGCAGUGUCAGCAGCGUGUCCCCCUCUGGGCUGCUGGGCUGCAGUGCAGAGGGCAGCAUGCCUGGCGUGGGGCACACAGCAGCUCUGUGCCCUGGGCCCCUCUCACCUGGCACUCAUCUGAGGGGGGCAGAGCCCUGCCGGAGGCUGCCCAGCUGCUGUCUCUGUGUGGGGUUCCAGUCCAGCUCUCUCCUGCUUCUGUCUGCGCUGUCCAUGAUGGCGCUCCUUUGCGUAGCCCCCGUGCAGGGCAACGGGGCCCUGGCCCACAAGAAGGUCGAGAAGGGGUUCCCCAAAGACUGCAGCAACAUUCCCAGGGACAGCCCCAGCGGGGUCCAUGUCAUCCAGCCGGCAGGCUCUCCCCCCUCGAGUGGUGUGGUGUGACAUGGACACGGAAGGCAAAGGCUGGACCGUUGUCCAGAGAAAUUCUUACAACACAGAGAUCACCUGGCGUCCUGGAGCACCUACAAGUACGGCUUUGGGAAUGUGCAGCAGGAUUACUGGCUGGUCAACAAGUACCUGUCCCUGCUCACGCGGCAGAACACCUACAAGGUCCGCUUUGUGGUGGAGGACAAAUCCAACAACACCCGCUACGCAGAGUACGACAUCUUCAGUGUCGAGGAUGAGCCCAGCGGGUACCCUCUGAGGCUGGGCAGGUACUCUGGGGACGGCGAGGACUAUCUCACCACCUACCACUCCGGCCUGGGGGCAUACACGACAACAUGAAGUUCAGCACGACUGACAAGGAUCAGGACCAGGCUAGUGGGAAUUGCGCAAGUAGCUAUGGAGGCUGGUGGUACGACAAGUGUCAGAAAGUCCUGCUCAAUGGGAAAGGCUACAUCUACUGGGCAGGGUUCUGUAAGAGUGGGGAGUGCAAGUCUUCCCUCAUCCUGGUUAAGCCAACAGACGUGUGCUGGGUCUGGCAGGAGGAGCCCAUCCUCCUUGGGAGCCGGCGCCGCUGAGACAAUAUUAGAUCAGACACGGCGUGCCAUCCCCCACCUAAUCAGUGUAGUCCCUGCAAUGCCUCCACUCUGCUCACCCCAUUCCCUGUUGGCUUCUGCACGGUAAAUCCCCUGGAAUAAAUGCAGAGAGCCGACCCCGCCGGUGCGUUCGAAUGACACGAAGAGUGUGAUUGGUGUGUAUAACUGGACCCCCGCUUCCACUCUGCCUCGCUGGAAGCCAUGUCACUCACUACGACUUUAGACCCACAUUAACCUCUGCUUCUCCCAGCCCUGCCACUGCCCCUUGGUAUUAGUGAUCAAUGAAUCAUGACACUGGAUUUCUAGCAACUGUCAUUGAGCAUUUAAAUGGGGGAUGACUCAAAGCCAGGACUUUACAUCUGAAUCCUGCAUGUAUUAGCAGUGGUGAGUUUGGGUUCAAAAACCUGCCCUCUGUGUUUUUAAUAAAUAUGGUUAUUACAUGAGAAAACAUUGCAACAGUAAUUAGUUGCUGAUGAACCACUGAGAUUAGAUAGACGUGCAACGAAACCGCACAAUAAAGAUAUUGGUGUCCCUCUUCAACCCAAGGCGCUAGUCAAAGUUUGGGGCCCUGGGGAUGUUCCAGUGGGGAGCAGAAAUUGGCAGUGGAGUCUGGUAAUUUUUUGAUGUCUUGUUUAUUGACAAGGAACAUACAGAGUCCUGCUUCUCCAAACACAGCAGGAACCAACAGCAGAGAUUAGCCUCCCUGCUCUCAGCUCCAAGCCUCUUUAGCCAGCACCUAGCCCAAAAGCUCUCUAUGCUCCUCCCAAGAUCACACCAUGCUCACAGGCUCUGCUCGGCUUUCCUGCUCUGCCUCCGUGUCCUGGGUGCACUGCCCGGCUUGUCUCUUUCACACACGCACCAGCUCAGAACGACACUCGGUGGCAUCCUCUGCCCACCUGGGGCUAGUUUCUGGGCACACGCCAUCAUGGCUUGUUCUACACGAGGCCCCCUUACCAGUUGCUUCCAGCUGUCUUAAAUGAAGAGUGCAUCCUCACAGCUGUGUCAAUGAGAUUUUAACUCCACCCAUCACAAGGUAUAAUCCAGCUCCUAGCAGUGUAUUUAUCUGUCAGGCUGAUGUCCUCUGAGCAUCUCUGAGCAUUUCCUGCCUGUUUGGCUUCAGUCUUCACUUCAAUCAAAGUUCAUUGUGACCAGAUGCUGAACACCAUUAAUGCUAACAGCCAGGGGCAGGAGCACCCUCACGAACAGGGAAAGAACAGGCUAAAGAAUAACGCCAAGGAUUCAAGUCAGCUGGGCCUGAUGCAGUUCACUCUCGGGCAGGGCUCCCAAAUCGUGGGCUGUAGCCCAAAGAUGGGCCAUGACGUAGUCCUGGCUGGUCCACUGGCAGGGGUGAAGAUGGGGGGGAAUGUGAAAGGGCAUUGCCCCCCCCCGCAAACUGCAUCUUUCCAGUCCCCUCCUGACCAUGGCCCUUCAGUGCUUCCCCAGGACACAAGGCCCUGUCUAAUUGGCCUUCCUGACAGAGCCUGCGUGGAGAGCGUGCGUAGGGGGGAGUUUGGGGGGCAGGUUUGGAAAGAGGGAUGUUUUCAGGGGGAGGGAAGCUGGGAGCCUCUGAGGUGCAGCUGGAAGGUUUCCUCCUCCCUCCUCAGCAUCUGGGGUGCAGACAGGGGGGGAGGGGGUUGCUAUUUUGCAGUUGGGAGUAUCAGGGACCCCUCCCCCCCAUGCACUAAGCUGUCCCCUCCAUCUCGGUUGCUGGUGGUGACGUGGGGGUGUGCUGUUUUGCAGUGGGGGAGCGGGGGAUCCCCCUGCCCAGGGCACUGACCUCUCCCCUUCCCGCCUCCCAUCUCCACUGUCCGUGCUGGGAGCCACCCCCACCCACCACUCUGCCCAUUGCAGGCUGCGCUUGGUGCCCUCCCGAGCCACCUAUCCCUCGCCAGGCUGGAGCAUGACGCUGCAAGCGGGGACAUCCUCAGCCUGUCCCGGGCAGCCAGCUCGCUCAGCCGUUUUGCUGACUGGGGGGCUCCCUGCCAAACCCAGGGUUCCCCUGCACCAUUCCCCCCAACUUGGGGUCCCACCCACACCCCAACUCCCCCCUGAACAUGGCUACCCCUCCCCUUCCAAAACAACCUGAACUCUUCAUACGCCACAGCCCACCCCCGCCCCUCCCCAUGAGCCACCUGGCAGCAGUGCCCUCCAUCGGACCAAACUGCUCUCCAUGUCUCCCUCCCACCCCCACCCCCCAGGGCCAGGCUGGGGCUCUCUGGGGCUGGACCCCGGCUGUGACUGGGGUUUCAGCACUCCUGCUUCACAGAUGUAUACAGAGCACUGUAUAACCAGAGUUGUCAUAACUAUAAAGGGAAGGGUAACAGCUCUCCUGUGUACAGUACUAUAAAAUCCCUCCUGGCCAGAGACUCCAAAAUCCUUUUACCUGUAAAGGGUUAAGAAGCUCGGAUAAGCUGUCUGACACCUGACCCAAAGGACCAAUAAGGGGACAAGAUACUUUCAGAUCUUGGUAGGGGGGAAGGCUUUUGUUUGUGCUCUUUGUUUGGGAAGUCAUUCACUCUUGGGACUGAGAGGGACCAAACAUCAAUCCAGGUUCUCCACAUCUUUCUGAACAAGUCUCUCAGAUUUCAAACAUGUAAGUAAACAGCCAGGCAAGGCGUGUUAGUUUUUACUUUGUUUUCUCAACAUGUAAAUGUACCUUUUACUAGAGUGUUUACCUCUGUUUGCUGUACUUUGAAUCCGAUUUCUAACGCAGUGUUUUGCUCUGGCCUAUUGCUCUUUAAGUUUGAUUACCCUGUAAAGUUAUUUUCCAUCCUGAUUUUACAGAGAUGUUUUUUACCUUUUUUCUUUAAUUAAAAGCCUUCUUUUUAAGAA